AGAAGUCAGAGCACUGAACUUCCACUCAGUGAACUGCUACUGAUUAGCAGCUCCUCCAUAAACACCUCACUGCACGAGUGAAACUGCCAAAGGUCAGUGCACAAGCAGAUCUCACCAGCACUUAAAGCAGAUCAGUCCAAGCAACUUGC
rnacentral:lncRNA from 12 species